ACACUCUAUUUAAACUACUUCCU
rnacentral:tRNA from 1 species